AGAAAGAGGAUGAUCUAAUAGAACAUGUUUUGGUCUGGGCUUACUCAAACAUACAUGGUUCUUCUGUUUUUCCCCUUCCUUCUCCCCAAAAUCUGGAUUAAAAUCCUCAAAUAAUACAUGAAAUGUAUAGAGAAAGAACGUCAGCCUAAAACCGUCCGUUGCCAGACUCUACCACUCAGGCCUCAAACGUGAGCGCAGCAGACAUUCCAGAACUGAACUUGGUGCGCUCGCGUACCAACUGCCGCCGUACUUCGGGCUAUUCCACCCUUGCUGCGCUCUAAGCUCAGAACCGACUGGUACAUUAUGGCGGUUGCUGCUUGCGAUCGUUUUACUCUCUUGGGGAUACGUCAUCUAUGCAUCAACAGUUGCUGCAAGACGACUGCUAAGGAAGGAAUACCCAGACAAAAUCUUUGGAAUGAAUGAAAAUUUGUAACAACUAUGGAUUUAAUUCUAAAAUACAGUUCAUUUUCUCAUGCUUAUCUAACACAUAUGUAGAUUUAUAAAUAAAAUUCAUAAUACAAAUUU